CGGCGGACGGGUGAGUAACACGUGGAUAACCUACCUAUAAGACUGGGAUAACUUCGGGAAACCGGAGCUAAUACCGGAUAAUAUAUUGAACCGCAUGGUUCAAUAGUGAAAGACGGUUUUGCUGUCACUUAUAGAUGGAUCCGCGCCGCAUUAGCUAGUUGGUAAGGUAACGGCUUACAAAGGCAACGAUGCGUAGCCGACCUGAGAGGGUGAUGGCCACACUGGAACUGAGACACGGUCCAG
rnacentral:rRNA from 1 species